ACGGCAGCUGGCCAAUCAAGGUGUUCGUAUGCAGCGAAGGAAGUAACCAAUCAAUUUUUUAAUUUCCUUCUGUAAACGGGAGUGAAUCGGGGUGGAUUUGAAAUCUCAUUAGUCAAAAAGCUAAGAAGGUGAAGUAAUUGAAAGCGCCCCUUUCUUUUCACUCUGAUCUGAAAUUACAACAGGCUGAGUGGAGCGGGAAUGAGCCUGUGUGUUGCUCAAGCUGUGAAGAGCCAAGUUACAGAAGAGGUAGAGGAAAUAUGACAGGGCUCAAACAACGGCUGCUGAAUUAUAAUAUUUCUGAAGGCCCUAAAGUAUGCUCUUUCUUCCCUCACCCCCUUGCCCCUGAGCCAGUCAGGGAUGAGACUGGCAGAGCACUACUACUACAUCCCUUCUGCUUUCUGUCAUAAACCUGGAACACUCUAGCAUGAUUAAAGAGAUUCAAACAAUGCA